AUUGAACGCUGGCGGCAGGCCUAACACAUGCAAGUCGGACGGUAGCACAGAGGAGCUUGCUCCUCGGGUGACGAGUGGCGGACGGGUGAGUAAUGUCUGGGAAACUGCCCGAUGGAGGGGGAUAACUACUGGAAACGGUAGCUAAUACCGCAUAACGUCGCAAGACCAAAGUGGGGGACCUUCGGGCCUCACACCAUCGGAUGUGCCCAGAUGGGAUUAGCUGGUAGGCGGGGUAACGGCCCACCUAGGCGACGAUCCCUAGCUGGUCUGAGAGGAUGACCAGCCAAACUGGAACUGAGACACGGUCCAGACUCCUACGGGAGGCAGCAGUGGGGAAUAUUGCACAAUGGGCGCAAGCCUUAUGCAGCCAUGCCGCGUGUAUGAAGAAGGCCUUCGGGUUGUAAAGUACUUUCAGCGGGGAGGAAGGUGCUGAGGUUAAUAAGCUCAGCAAUUGACGUUACCCGCAGAAGAAGCACCGGCUAACUCCGUGCCAGCCGCCGCAGUAA
rnacentral:rRNA from 1 species